rnacentral:rRNA from 1 species
UACGGGGGGGGCAAGCGUUGUUCGGAAUUACUGGGCGUAAAGGGCGCGUAGGCGGUCCGCUAAGUUAGAUGUGAAAACUCUGGGCUCAACCCAGAGCCUGCAUCUAAUACUGACGGGCUAGAGUUCUGGAGGGGGUAGCGGAAUUCCUGGUGUAGCAGUGAAAUGCGUAGAGAUCAUGAGGAAGACCAGUGGCGAAGGCGGGUCUCUGGACAGUUCCUGACACUGAGACACGAAGGCCAGGGGAGCAAACGGG